GGGUCAGUAGGUUGGUCGUGCCACCGGUACGUACUGGUCUCACUGGUUCCUCCUUCCUGAAGAACCGUAAUGCCAUUAAUUUGGUGUUGCGGGGGAACAGGACUGUUACUUUGAAAAAAUUAGAGUGUUUAAAGCAAGCUAACGCUUGAAUACAUUAGCAUGGAAUAAUGAAAUAGGACGAUCGAUCCUAUUUUGUUGGUUUCUAGGAUUGACGUA
rnacentral:rRNA from 1 species